ensembl:lncRNA
CCAUGGCAGUUAAUAGCAGACCUACUACCUGAUGCAAAUUUUUACACAAAAAUUCUUUCUCUGUAUUCCUUCUCUUGCAGCCAUUAGGAUUGCAUUCGCCAGCGUGGAAGCUCUCCAACCUCAGAGGUAUUGUGAACAUCAGCCACUGGCAACGGAGCUCAAACUAUCUGGGAAACGGGUCUCUCAGACACACCAGGAGACCUCGGUGAGGGUGCCUGCGGGGAAAGCGCCUUGAAGGCAAUACAGCAGAUGAUGGGAAGAAUUUGGCCGAACAUCCCAGAAACAGACAAAGGAUCAGAUUCUUCCAGAGGCAUCGAAAUUUUGCUGGGUCAUACACUUUCUCACACACCUCAAAUUGCUGUUGACUGCUGGAGUUUGGACUGCGCGAGGGGAAACAAAUGCCAAACAGGAUCAGACCCAUGGUUCAUCUAGUUCUGUAUCCUGUUUCUGAAAGUCACAGACCAGAUGUGUCAUAAGAAAACGCGAGAAACUCUGCUGCAGAUGCAGGAAAAUGUCAGGCCUUUACAAAGUUCUUAUUUUAUUAUAUCCCCUACUAGACUGUCCUGACCUUUAAUAAGCCUAAUUUCUCCUUCUUUUCUCCUCCUGUCCGUUAUCAUAAAACCGGGUAAGGUAUUAGUUUCAUUGUAGAAACCGUUUCAAACGACCAAGGUAGGCAUUGAGUAUGGAGAAAUAAAAGUGAGAUUAUUUUUUUUAAGUAGUUUUAUACCACAUUUGAAUAAUACCAUGUCAGAAUAAGUGACUCUCAAUAAACCAUAUAGGAUAAACUGGAAGUAUACAGAGGAUAACCUUUGCUGAAGAUUUCAUAUUAUUUAAUGUCAAAACAUUUGCCUGUAUUUAAAAUAUGCAGAGCAUAUAUUUUUAUUUACUUUUUGGUGAUUUGACCCAUAAUCAUGGUAAAACUGUUCACUAACAAAUGUGGGAGAUUUUUGGCCGUGCCAGUUUAAGCAGAUUUCUUUUAAGGUCAGAAAGGACAAUUGUGAUCUUGGAGUUGACCAGCUGCCUCACACAAAAUAACUGUUUAUCUUUUCCCAAAACCAAUCUUUAUUUUCCUUAAGUAAGAUAUUACUGACCCACACUACACACUUGCUAUCAGUGACUUUAACCUACCUUUGCUCAAAAAGCUGUGCCAGAAGAGGAGGUUGAAGCAGGUGUUCAAAUAUUAAGCACUAGUCAACUGCCCAUAAAUUUAAUCUGACAUGCUGAUCGGCAAAUGCUGGGCAAAACAAUUGAACCAAGUCCACACACUUUGAAGCUGCUGCUACAAAAAUCACAGCUGAAAGGGGAGGGAGCUUCCUAGCAACAAAAAUGCGCCCGAGCCUUGCAGCUGAAGUGUGUGUGUCGCAGAACACCUCGCGGAUGCACAGGGUGGGGGGUUUUUAGGGGGGCAGGGAGGCUUAAAGCUUUGAAUUUGUCAUUUCUUUCUCAACUGGCUUUUAGUUCUGAUCCUGAGCGAGAAGAAAGGGGUCCUUGUUUGAUAAGAAGGGAUGAUAACCUGCACCCAAGCCAAUAAAAGGGAUUAACCCGAGACUGAAGGCUCAAUACUAGGUUCUGGCCGAUGCAUGGUUCAAUUAGACUAAAAGCUGUCCUACAGCAUUAAGGCAAGUUACCUUCAUUUUCAGCUUCAGUGAAACAGACCCCAGAUGACAGGAUAGGCAAACAAGGACUUUUUCACUUUUCACAAUUGCUUUCAUCCUGUAUUGCCAAUAUUAUUAGACUUUAAAGAAACUGGAAAAUCAGAGGAGUGUUCCAAGUAGGUGGUCUCCGUGUAUUCAUUACAUCCGGGCACGUAAGGCUGGAUAACGCAUUUUGUAAGCACAGCAAUGUGGCUUGCAGUUCAUUUCUUCAGUUCAUUUUCAUUUUCACCUAAUAAAAUCAAUUUUCAACCCAAAGUGAUGGCCUACAG